AAUUACAGAAUAUAUUUCCCCAUGACAGUGUGUUGAUAGUUGAUGGAUAGUUUUGGGAGCUGAGUAAAUAUCUAAUCAGUAUAUGCUCUCACAGCCAGCAUUCAUAAUUCAUUCCCUGUAUUGGACUUUUCCACCUGUUGAACAUCCGAAAUACAAUUAUCAACGAAACCAAAUCAAUAUCUAAUUUCGACGGAGGAGCCCAGAGAAACAUAGCCAGCCAAAUGCCAUCAAUCAUGCGCCGCAUGACAUAACAUAUCCAGCCGAGUCUGGAUUUGCUUCCAUCUGUAUCUGUAAAUGUAUCUGUAUCUGUCUGUAUUUUCGGAUGUAUCUGCGGACCACUGCUGCCGUAAAAAACUGAACCUUUUGAGUGCGACCAAGAGGCCCUAGCCUACGCAGAAGUAUCUCAUGGAGACCCGAGUGAGUAAUGGCCAAGAGAGGCCACCGUAAACCCACAGAAGAUACCGAAAAAUGUGGACCAUCAACGUCAUCAAUGAAUCUCUGGUGUGCACACGAGUUCCAACUCCCAACUCCUUGCUAUGCAAAUCCCAUUUGGCCAUUGGCCCUCGGACUCUGUAAUAAAUUCCACAAUAGGCUGUUGAUAUUUUGAUGGACUCAAGCCGGCCACAAAUCAGCCACAUUAACUGGCACGAGACAACAUUCAAAUGUUAAUUAAUCAAGUCAUAACGAGUUUUUCUAUGCCGGCUUGGAUUUCUCAUGGAUUGACUGAGGUUAGUUCGCCGUGCGAGUUGGACAAUUCUCAGUGAAUGUGGCAUCAGAAGCCGGAAAAAAUAACCUUUCUUCGUUGGCUCCUUGGCCAACUCCUUGGCCAACUAAAGUCUGAACUGAUCGCUUGGAGCUCACAAAAAAAGAAAAAACAAAAAACCAAUAAAAAACAGGUUGUGGCUACCGAAGAAAAAGAGAAUGCAUUCUGGCCAGGAUGAUGUUCCGUAGCGGAUCUGCCUGCCGGUGGUGGAUUGCUCCUAGCCUGGCCGAGACAGCUGCAAAACCACCAGAGAGCCAGGCGCUAACAAACUCAUUUUUAGCACGGAAAAAUAUUUUAUUUAUUUGAGUAAUUCACUUCUUUUAUGCAUUACAUAUCCGCAAUUAUUUGUUUAAAAAUGUAAAUAGAUUAAUUGAAAAGCUAUUCUACAAAUAUUUCAAGAAAAAAGCUAGUUGUAAAUAUCUACGGAUAAGACUUUUAACCUUCAACUUCAAAUAUAAAUCGUCUUUUGUAUGUAACUAAGCAUGGCUCACAUAAUAAUGAACCUAAGUAAAUACGA